rnacentral:rRNA from 1 species
GUGAGGAAUAUUGGUCAAUGGGCGGGAGCCUGAACCAGCCAAGUCGCGUGAAGGAAGAAGGAUCUAUGGUUCCUAAACUUCUUUUGCAGGGGAAUAAAGUGCAGGACGUGUCCUGUUUUGUAUGUACCCUGAGAAUAAGGAUCGGCUAACUCCGUGCCAGCAGCCGCGGUAAUACGGAGGAUCCGAGCGUUAUCCGGAUUUAUUGGGUUUAAAGGGUGCGUAGGUGGUUUGAUAAGUCAGCGGUGAAAGUUUGCAGCUUAACUGUAAAAAUGCCGUUGAAACUGUCGGACUUGAGUGUAAAUGAGGUAGGCGGAAUGCGUGGUGUAGCGGUGAAAUGCAUAGAUAUCACGCAGAACUCCGAUUGCGAAGGCAGCUUACUAAGCUACAACUGACACUGAAGCACGAAAGCGUGGGGAUCAAACAGGAUUAGAAACCCGUGUAGUCC